GAUGAACGCUAGCGGCAGGCUUAAUACAUGCAAGUCGAGGGGCAGCAGGACUGUAGCAAUACAGUUGCUGGCGACCGGCAAACGGGUGCGUAACACGUACGCAACCUACCCAAAACUGGGGGAUAGCCCGGGGAAACCCGGAUUAAUACCUCGUAACCUUUUUAAGUGGCAUCACUUGAUAAGUAUAGCUCCUGCGGUUUUGGAUGGGCGUGCGCCUGAUUAGGUAGUUGGUGCUGGUAACGUCCCACCAAGCCUGCGAUCAGUAACUGAUGUGAGAGCACGACCAGUCACACGGGAAAUGAGACACGGGCCCCACUCCUACGGGAGGCAGCAGUAAGGAAUAUUGGUCAAUGGACGCAAGUCUGAAAAAGCCAUGCCGCGUGAAGGAUGAAGGUCCUCUGGAUUGUAAACUUCUUUUAUGGGGGACGAAACCCGGAUAUUCUUAUCCGAUUGACGGUACCUCAGGAAUAAGCACCGGCUAACUCCGUG
rnacentral:rRNA from 1 species